UCGCCCUGUGCGGUGCCUCCGCCAGCCUCAACUUCUCCAACUCCGCCUGGCUGCUCCACAUCCCGCGCGCCCCCGCCCCCCGUCGUCUCCGGCCACCAGCUGCCCGACGUGCAGCGCGCCGCCAGCGAGGCCGUCGCCGAGUUCCAGCGCCGGGGAAGUACCGCCACCUCCGGCGACGCUGCAUCGACCGCCCCUCCGCCGACACCCGUUCUGUUAGCCAACGACAAUGCCUCUCCGUCUGGCAUGCACGCCGAUCUGUACUACGCGAGCUUGGCGCGGGGGCUGCUCAUCGAGCCGCAGCCGCCGCUGACCAUCGUGGAGGGCUACUGCGACGACGAAGGAUACGGAGGCGCUGAAAUGGAGCUAAGUAACGACGGCGACCUCAACAUCCAAAGUCAAACACUCUCACAGGCGGCGGCGCGCGCGGCCGGAGGGUGGUGCGGCCGGCGACGGCGGCUCCCGAGUGGCGGCGCGCGGGCUCAGGGCGGCACGAGCUCGCCGGCGGGGGAGGCGGAGGAGGUACGCGCGGACGUCCUCGCCCUCGUCGUCGACGUCGCCACCGAUGACGAGGUCCGCGCCGCUCACCAGCUCGCACGCUUCAUCGUCAUCGACACUCACCACCUCGAUCCGGCCGUUGCACCGCCUGGCGACGUCCUCCCACCUUGGUCCUCCCUCCCAGCGAGCGGACGAUGA
rnacentral:lncRNA from 1 species